rnacentral:rRNA from 1 species
UACGUAGGGUGCGAGCGUUAAUCGGAUUUACUGGGCGUAAAGCGUGCGCAGGCGGCCCGUUAAGACAGGUGUGAAAUCCCUGGGCUCAACCUAGGAAUUGCGCCUGGGACUGGCGGGCUCGAGUGCGGUAGAGGGGGGUGGAAUUCCUGGUGUAGCAGUGAAAUGCGUAGAGAUCAGGAGGAACACCGAUGGCGAAGGCAGCGCCCUGGGCCUGUACUGACGCUCAUGCACGAAAGCGUGGGGAGCAAACAGG